CCUGGAUAUCCAUCCUGUCAUUGGGUAGAGCAAAUACUGAUUAGAUUUUUUUCAGAGGAAUGAUGUGGUAUGCUAGUUUUACCAUUGCAUGUGCAAACUAACUUCAUAUCAGUUUUACUCAGGUCCAAACGGAGUAGAAAAACUGUACUACAAACAUUUUCCAGGGUAGACAACAUGUUGGUGCCUGAAGCCACUCUGCGGGGCACGACAAAGACGGACCGGGAUCAGGAGACUUGCCUCUUGGCAGUCACGGCGUAACAUGCGCGCACCCAUCUGCCGUUCAAAUAAGAUCCAAUGGCACUGAGUGGCCCAAGUGAAAACAAGCCACUUCGUUCCUGAUCCAAAGAUUAACUAGAUAUAAUUAGCUCACGAGGCUAUA